UUGAGUUUUCAGCUUUGAGAACUGAAUUCCAAGGGUUUUUGGAUCAAGCUUUGCCCGUGGGACUUAGUUCUUAAAACUGGAUGCUCCUG
rnacentral:pre_miRNA from 1 species